rnacentral:rRNA from 1 species
CGUAGGUAACCUGCCCAUGUGUCCGGGAUAACUGCUGGAAACGGUAGCUAAAACCGGAUAGGUAUACAGAGCGCAUGCUCAGUAUAUUAAAGCGCCCUUCAAGGCGUGAACAUGGAUGGACCUGCGGCGCAUUAGCUAGUUGGUGAGGUAACGGCCCACCAAGGCGAUGAUGCGUAGCCGGCCUGAGAGGGUGAUCGGCCACAUUGGAACUGAGACACGGUCCAA